rnacentral:rRNA from 1 species
GACCAGACUCCUACGGGAGGCAGCAGUGGGGAAUAUUGGGCAAUGGACGCAAGUCUGAUCCAGCAACGCCGCGUGAAGGAAGAAGGCUUUCGGGUUGUAAACUUCUUUUAAGAGGGAAGAGUAGAAGACGGUACCUCUUGAAUAAGCCACGGCUAACUACGCGCCAGCAGCCGCGGUAAUACGUAGGUGGCAAGCGUUGUCCGUAUUUACUGGGUGUAAAGGGCGUGUAGCCGGGCCGGCAAGUCAGAUGUGAAAUCCCGAGGCUCAACCGUGGAACUGCAUUUGAAACUGUUGGUCUUGAGUAUCGGAGAGGCAGGCGGAAUUCCUAGUGUAGCGGUGAAAUGCGUAGAUAUUAGGAGGAACACCAGUGGCGAAGGCGGCCUGCUGGACGACAACUGACGGUGAGGCGCGAAAGCGUGGGGAGCAAACAGGAUUAGAUACCCGAGUA